rnacentral:rRNA from 1 species
UUAUCCGGAUUUAUUGGGUUUAAAGGGAGCGUAGAUGGAUGUUUAAGUCAGUUGUGAAAGUUUGCGGCUCAACCGUAAAAUUGCAGUUGAUACUGGAUGUCUUGAGUGCAGUUGAGGCAGGCGGAAUUCGUGGUGUAGCGGUGAAAUGCUUAGAUAUCACGAAGAACUCCGAUUGCGAAGGCAGCCUGCUAAGCUGCAACUGACAUUGAGGCUCGAAAGUGUGGGUAUCAAACAGGAUUAGAUACCCUGGUAGUCCACACGGUAAACGAUGAAUACUCGCUGUUUGCGAUAUACGGCAAGCGGCCAAGCGAAAGCGUUAAGUAUUCCACCUGGGGAGUACGCCGGCCACGGUGAAACUCUUGGGAAUUGACGGGGGCCCGCCCACGCGGAGGAACAUGUGGUUUAA